rnacentral:lncRNA from 1 species
GUAGGAUAUACACCUAUGUGUUGGGGCUUUGGGGAGGAAAAAACCGUGGGAGUCGGGGGGAGGGAUUGGCAACAGAUGUGAGCUCAGGGCCAAUCUUAACAAAAAAGAAAAAAAAGAAAAUGCAGUGCAAGUAUGACAUUAAGGGGUAGCAGUGCUUUGUAGCUGGCCUCAAAAAAUUUCUCUAUUAUUGAGCCAGACUAGAAUGUCCCAUACUGUUUCUCAUGAGUCCUUGGAGUGAUAGAUUCAAAGAGCUUAAACAACUUCAGAAAAGAAACUUCAAAAGACCUUUUUAUUUUCUAGACAAAGCAAAGGCGUUUAUUAUAGGAACAUCCUCAAACUGCUUUGGAAGAGAUGUUCACACAGGCAGAUGUGGUGGAGAUCAACCUUGGAGUGGGUGCCCUCCACCCACAUUAGGGCCACUCCUUCCCACUUCUCUGGGCACCCAAGCAUUAGGGGCUUUAUCUCCCGCCUCUUAUUUUCCCCCCAAAAUUAAAAAGCAGAAGCUCAUUUCUCAGCAGAGCACAUGGCUGAAACAAAGAUCUUGGACCAUCCAGAGUAGAUUCUUCCACGUUGUAGGCCAGUUUAGGGAAAGGUCAGUGAACAAAAGAGAAGAGGUGAUGUUGACACUAUGUUUGUGGACUUACCGGAGUGGAGAAGAGAUGAAAAUAUGGCGUUAAACUGAAGGUAAGAAAAAAGUUACUCCCUUUGACCCAAAUGGUGCUGCAGUUCCUGAUAACACUAGCAAUAAUAAGUAUAAUGACUAGACAAGAUUCACUGAGCGCUGAUGGCUUGAUAGCGUGUUUACGUACUUUCCUAUUCGACCUUCACAACUGCCCUAUCAGGUAGGUAAUAUUAUUAUAAAUGAACAAGCCAAGGCUCAGAGAAGUUAUCUGCUCAAGUUCUCAAAGUGAGUAAGUCGGGGCAUCAGGAUUUGCACCCAUGUCUGUAGGUGGGAUUUGUAGCAAUGGAACAAGUGAAGUGUUGUGUCUGAUAAGGAGAGUUAUCCUUUUGUGCCCUAUCUGAUUUUAGAGGUCGUGCUCUCAAAUGCUGUGCUCUGGUAUCUUAAAUUCUUAUCAGGAAGCUAUGCCUCACUCAGCACAGCUGCUGCCAUUGCUGCUAUAACUGCUAGUGCAGCAUUUCCCAAAUGUUGCCUCUGGAACCUGCGGUUCCCAGUGAGGGGCACUUUGCAAGUGGAGGUGGCCUCUAGGCUCCUUUGUGGAGUCACUGUGGCUUCCCCCAGUCCCCAUUUUAAGUCUGCGAGUAGUUCAUUUUUUCCCCCUUGAGUUCAAAUCUUUUUUCUUUUCUUCUCCAAAUUACACCCCCACAUUUCUUUCUAAUGCAAUUAGAGUCUUUUCCAGAAAGCUAAAUUUGAAAGUGUUUCUGGCUAAAGCAGAAAAUUCAUUAUAUUUGUUUAAUUGUAACCCAAAUAAGAAACAACAUGAGGAUGAGAUUUUUAUUACAAGUCUCAUCCAACCUACGUCUCUAAUCCCACUGUCCUAUUUUUCUACUUAAUGCUGUAUGACUGUGCAGAGCUCCCUAAGGAGGGCCUGGACAGGCUGGAGGAAGGGUCUAGGAUGAUUGCCUGGGGAGGGCUUGGGUAUUCCUGGGUCCUUGUUUAUGGCCCUAUCAAAACAUUGUCCCUAGUUCCUGGAAAUUGAGGAUUGCAACAGUGUUCCUGUGAUUUUUUUUUUACUUUGAAUGGAAAAUUUUUAGCAACAAAGGAAGAAGAAACAUACUCCUCUCACAUGUGUUCCCAGAGUUAUGUUUUGGAUUUGAGUAUGCAAGUGGAUGUGGCAUGUGCUAACUAGACUCUCAAGGUCAAGAGUUUCAAAUGCAAAUGUCCAAAAGAAACAAUCAGAAAGAAGCUUGGGAUGGAUUGCUGGAGACUCACCUGCGGGGUGCUCAGUUUUCUGGCAGGAAACUAGUCAGAGCAAGAGAAACACAACCCAAUUGACAUAAAGGUAUGGCAUUUAAACUGGGCCUUAAAGAAUUGGAAGGAUUUAGACAAAAAAAAAAGCAUGGAUGGGAAAAACAGUCAUCUUGGAGGAAGCAGUGGUAAAGUCACAGAGAUGCAAUACGCAUACCAAGUCCAGGCAGCCCCGGUAGUUACGUUGGAUUACUUCUUUUCUUUUCUUUUCUUCCUUUAACAAAUGCUGGCAUAGCUUCUAAGGGCUUUAUAAAUAAUAACUCCUUUAGUUCUCAUAGCAUUACUAUGAAGUAGUUAUAACCAAUAAUACUAACUACGCUCAUUUUAUAGAUGAGGAAACUGAGGGUUUAUUAAUAAAUUUUUUUUCUUAAUGAUUGGCACCUGAGCUAAAAUCUAUUGCCAAUCUUUUUUUUCUUUUUUCUUCUUCUUUUCCCCAAAGCCCCUUAGUACAUAGUUGCAUAUUCUAGUUGUAGGUCUUUCUGGCUGUGCUAUGUGGGAUCCCACCUCAGCAUGGUGUGAUGAGCAGUGCUAGGUCUGUGCCCAGGAUCUGAACUGGUGAAACCCUGGGCCGCAAAUGCAGAGUGUGUGAACUUAACCACCUGGCCAUGGGGCUAGCUCCUAAUAAAUGUUUAACCCAACAUUUAUUAGGUUCUGAUAAGGGCAGGACACAGACAAUGAGCCCUGAAUAGAUGAAAGGCAGACCUCUUUUUUACUUCAGCUCCCACAGAGAGAAGGCUGCCACAUGGCCACAUCGGGGUUUGCACCAGGAGAAGGGUAACAGCAAGCUGGAACAGCAGGUGGGGCUUAUGUAUGACAAGCAGGGUGAGUUAGCUGGGUUCACAGGCUUCUUGUGGAUUGGGUAUUUUUAAUGAUUCUGCAAGUGCAAGGAAGAAGGAGCCAUCCUUUGAUGUUUGGCAUCAGGGCCUCUGGCUGUUGGGUAUGUAUGCUGUAACCCAGGAGUGUUAGAGCCCCAUAAGGCAAACAGUUGGGGUGUGGGUUUAGCAAACUGUCUGCAAAGGGGAAUUGAGAGGUUUUUAGCUAUGAUCUCAAAACUGGGUCAAGACAGCUCUUGUGAAAUAUUAUAUUACCCGGAGGCACAGAGAGACCUGGUGACUUGGCCAAGGUCACCCACUAGUAAGUGGCAGAGGUGGGAUUCAGCACCAGGCAAUCUGGUUCCAUAGUCCAUGUGAGAAAAGGCUAGAAAGGUAAGUACAGGAUCUGAUCAAGGAGGCACUUGAAAGCAAAAGUGCUUGGCCUUUCUUUGGUCUAAGGACCACAACAUCAGUGAUGGAAGGAUACAGCUGUAGGACAGGGACGAGUUUAUAGGAGGAUAUACGGUGUGAGGAAGGGCCUUGGCAGUGAAGAAGCUGUCAUCCUUGCCAAACUCUGUCGUCUUUUGUCUCCACACAUCUAUUAAACCUCUUUUUAUGGGCUGGCCCCUUCUUCCACUAAAGUAUGUGUGGUCUGUACUGGUCCUUUGAGAAGAGGCUGUGGCAACAUCGAUUCGAGUUUUAUAGACAAGGGGAAAGGGACCUUUAUAACUUUGUCAGUAUCCAACAUUUAAAAUUCCUGUUUGGAACACCCUGAGUACACAUCUCUGGGCAAAGACCGAAUAUUUGGAAGGUCAGACCUCUUGAUCUGUUUACCCUCAUAGUUCUCCACCAUUGUUUUUGAACCCAAAUUGGGAUUCAUCUAAUGGAUGACUAUGAAUGCAAGCCUUUUUGUUUAAUUCCUUCAAUCUAUGCUAAACUCCUAUGUUCACAUUGAACUAAUAAGGCAUUGGAUAUUAAAGAAUCAUCUGCUUGUUCUGUCUUUG